CUUGCGGCCAUAUCACGUUGAAACACCGGUUCACGUACGAUCACCGAAAUUAAGCAACAUCAAGCCUGGUCAGUGCCGAGUUGGGUGACCGUUUGGGAAUACCAAGUGCUGUAAG